rnacentral:lncRNA from 1 species
CUGAAACUGGUGCUGCUGCUUCUGAGAAUGAAUCUGGAGCUGUUGAAACUGCUGUGCAGUUAGAAGAGUGUGCAUUGCUUGAUUGUUUGGAUAGAACUGCUGCUGACCCGCCGCGCCAAAAGAAGCGUAGUUCAUCAUAGGUCCACCAUUUGGCAUAGCUUGGCCAGUCAUAACUUUCAGAUGCUGAAUUUCUUCUUUCAGUGCAUUGUUCAAUGCUACGAGACAAACAAAAACAAUAAUGUUUCGGCACAAUUUCAUUCACAUAAGGAUCAAGAACCAGAAGUUACACGGAAUCCGAUCAGCAAGAAAACCUAAAUUAUAGUAUUGUACUGAUACUACACAAACAAGAUGCUACAGUCUAAUUUGAGCAAAACUUCUACAUCGGAUGCUAACCAAUACAAUCCAAUCUUGGGCGCAAAAAACGAUUAUGCGUUUCUUUGACAAAGUCCAUUUGACGUCAGGUGAAAUCAUGAUGCUAUAUUGUGUGGGGGUUUUGAUCACUCUCGAUUGCAUCGUAAUUGAGUGGAAGGCAAUAUCGUUUCGGGAUUAUAAGGAAUAUAUGCUGCACGGAGUUGACGUGACCAGCAAACAAUUUAGUGAGUGGUGCUAAAUCAUCAAGAAUAAAAGUUGACAGACGAAGUACGGUUUGGCAUUGAGGUGCUUAAAAAACAAAAGGAAAAAUAAUGAAAAUGUCUUGAAAACUUUGAGUUUUAACGAUAAGGACAAAAUAAAGGGUAAAGUGAAUAAUACUAGGUUUGACUUUUUAGUGUAAAAAUGUGGUUUUUCGUUAAAGUGAACAGUACUGCAGGCUUUUCGUUAAAACUCCCUAAAAAAAAGCUGCUUAUUUUCAAAGUUUUUAUGUUGAAGGUGUUUGGUAAACUAAAUAAAAAGGGAUUAUUUUUGGACAAUGCUAUGAGAAUAAGCUGAAAUCAUCAGAAAAGCUGAAGCAGCUAAAUGCUGCUUUGGAAAACUGGCUUUUUUUUCAAAGCACGCAGAGCUACGGUGCUCCUUUAAUGAAACUUUCUAAAGUCCAAUAACACCCUCAAACCAGAAAUGGUGCUCCUUUGCCGGUCUCCACAAAACCUAGAAACCCACUAGAAACGACUUUGCCGAUCUGCACAAGAAAUGGAAACACAAAAACCCAAAAACCCACCAGACUACCACAGCCAAAACCAGAAACGGUUUUCCUUUGCCGAUCCGCGCGCUAAACUAGCCUUAACUUUCUAAGACAUUGGAUACAAACAUCAAAACCCAAAAGCCAAAAAUUGAAUAAAUAUCAGCUUUAAGAUUUCACCGCCAUCAAUUCUAUAAUUUGAUUAAACACAAUUCCAGAAAAAUAAACAAUUUGAGCCACUACAAGCCUGAAACUUUAUCGAUUUUGGAAAAGUCGAAAAGAAAUCAUGGGCAAUUUGGGUUAAAAGCUAAAUACCUCUGGUUCUCCGAAGGUCCGGACUGAAACUAUGGCCACUGGGCGCCGGCGAAGAGAGACGGAGAAAGGGAGGGACUACAGAGAGGAGUGUUUUCUGUUGUCGAGGAUUACAGACAGGAAUUAGGAAGGAAGGUGAGUGGGAGGAAGAAGGGUUUAGAGUUAAAAUGGAUUUUGAUGCCACUUAACAAAUGAAGAUAGAUAAAAGAAAAAUAGGAGACUUGUAGAGAGACUAUUAAUAAAUAAAAGACAUGGAUUAUUAAUAAAUGAAGAUGGAUAAAAGAAAGAUAGAGUUGGUUUAUUAUUUUACAUUUAACAUUAUACUCAUUUUAUAUAUUUUUUUGUCAUUUCACACAAUCACAGCUCUUUUAUAUAAAAGUUUACCAAACACUAUCAUAUUGCUUGUUUUCUUUUCCAAAAGAACUUUUACAAAAAAAAUUUAUCAAACAUUCUGCUGUUUUAUUUCACAGCAGCUUAUUCUCAUAGCACAGCAGAAGUAGCUUAUUCUCAUAGCACAGCAGAAACAGUUUUUUCUCAUAGCAAAGCAGAAGAACCUUUUUUCAAAGCAGAGUAAUACCAAACCAGCCCUGAGACUAAUCCCAAAAACACAUUUAAUUUUCAGAUAACAAAUCUUCAUAAUCUAAAUCCACCAUAAUUACCAGGAACAAAACGCAAAUCACAAGGUGCUACAACCAUACGGUACUCGACCGAAAAUUAACCCCAUCAUUCGAUCUACAACUAAAACGAUAUUUACAGAACAGGCUACAAACAAAGGUGUCAUCUAGGUGUAUCUAACCAGACUAAAAAACAGAAGGGGGAGGAGGAGGAGGAGGAGAAGGGGGAGGAAGGGAAGGGAGGGUAAGUACCCUAACUGGAGGCGGCUGUGCAACUACAAUUUUUGAACAAAGCCUCAUCCGUCAUUAAUUUUUGGCAGACCCGAUAACAUUUCAAUCCUUCGUUACAGAUUGGUUGACCUCUGAUGUAUUAUCUUUCUGGCUUGGCGAAGGCACGGAUCCUCCUAUUUUCAACUCCCCACUUUGUUGUUGCUGCUGCUGUUGCUGUUGCGGAUGCUGAUGAUGCUGCUGCAUCUGUUGCUGCUGAAGUUGAUGGAGCUGAUGCUGCUGAAACUGGUGCUGCUGCUUCUGAGAAUGAAUCUGGAGCUGUUGAAACUGCUGUGCAGUUAGAAAAGUGUGCAUUGCUUGAUUGUUUGGACAGAACUGCUGCUGACCCGCCCCGCCAAAAGAAGCGUAGUUCAUCAUAGGUCCACCAUUUGGCAUAGCUUGGCCAGUCAUAACUUUCAGAUGCUGAAUUUCUUCUUUCAGUGCAUCGUUCAAUGCUAUGAGACAAACAAAAACAAUAUUGUUUCGGCAAGUCAAUUUCAUUCACAUAAGGACCAAGAACCAGAAGUUACAUGGAAUCGGAUCAGUGAGAAACCUAUGUUAUAGUAUUGUUCUGAUACUACACAAACAAGAUGCUACAGUCUAAUUUAUUUUUUUGGUUUCCUUUAUGUGCCA